rnacentral:rRNA from 1 species
AAUCAACGCUGGCGGCGUGCCUCAGACAUGCAAGUCGAACGAUUAAAGCUCUCUUCGGAGAGUGCAUAAAGUGGCGCACGGGUGAGUAACACGUAAGUAAUCUACCUUCGAGUGGGGAAUAACGUCCGGAAACGGACGCUAAUACCGCAUAACGCAGCGGCAUCGCAAGAUGACAGUUGUUAAAGAUUUAUCGCUUGAAGAGGAGCUUGCGGCAGAUUAGCUUGUUGGUAAGGUAACGGCUUACCAAGGCUACGAUCUGUAUCCGGUCUAAGAGGACGGUCGGACACACUGACACUGAAUAACGGGUCAGACUCCUACGGGAGGCAGCAGUCGGGAAUUUUGGGUCAAUGGGGGAAACCCGUGACCCAGCAACGCCGCGUGAAGGAUGAAGUAUUUCGGUAUGUAAACUUCGAAAGAAUAGGAAGAAUUAAUGACGGUACUAUUUAUAGGU